rnacentral:rRNA from 1 species
GACGAACGCUGGCGGCGUGCUUAACACAUGCAAGUCGAACGGAAAGGCCCCUUCGGGGGUACUCGAGUGGCGAACGGGUGAGUAACACGUGAGUAACCUGCCCUUGACUUCGGGAUAACUUCAGGAAACUGGGGCUAAUACCGGAUAGGAAUCCUUGCUGCAUGGUGGGGGUUGGAAAGCUUCGGCGGUUUUGGAUGGACUCGCGGCUUAUCAGCUUGUUGGUGGGGUAGUGGCUUACCAAGGCUUUGACGGGUAGCCGGCCUGGGAGGGCGACCGGCCACAUUGGGACUGAGAGACGGCCCAGACUCCUACGGGAGGCAGCAGUGGGGAAUAUUGCCCAAUGGGCGGAAGCCUGAUGCAGCAACGCCGCGUGCGGGAUGACGGCCUUCGGGUUGUAAACCGCUUUCAGCAGGGGCGAAGCUUGUGGUGACGGUACCUGCAGAAGAAGCACCGGCUAACUACGUG